AUUGAACGCUGGCGGCAGGCCUAACACAUGCAAGUCGAACGAGUGGCGGACAGGUGAGUAAUGUCUGGGAAACUGCGCGAUGGAGGGGGAGAUCACCUGGAAAAGGUAGAUAAUACAGCAUACCAUCGGAUGUGCCCCGAUGGGAUUAGCUUGUGGGUGAGGUAACGGCUCACCUAGGCGACGAUCCCUAGCUGGUCUGAGAGGAUGACCAGCCACACUGGAACUGAGACACGGUCCAGACUCCUACGGGAGGCAGCAGUGGGGAAUAUUGCACAAUGGGCGCAAGCCUGAUGCAGCCAUGCCGCGUGUAUGAAGAAGGCCUUCGGGUUGUAAAGUACUUUCAGCGGGGAGGCGUUACCCGCAGAAGAAGCACCGGCUAACUCCGUGCCAGCAGCCGCGGUAAUUC
rnacentral:rRNA from 1 species